AUAGUUACAAAAAGUUUACUUCCCAAUAAAAUUAUUCAAAAAUGUUAAAGAUCUCUAUAUUAAAAGCUAAAGAAAAUUGAGGUAUACAAUUAAACACAAAUAAAUGAAAAGUUAUCCCUUAUUCAUAAUUGGCCAAAUUAAUAUUGCUAAAAAGUCUAUGUUACACAAAAUGAUGUAUGUAUUUAACAUAAUGUCUAUAAAAUAUCAAUAGAAUUUUUCACAAAAACAAAAAAACCUAAAAUUCAUAUAGUAGAGCAAAAGAUUCUGAAAGCUGGAAGCAUUGUACUACUUGACAGUUGAAUAUACUGAAAGCUACAGUAACUAAAACAGUCCAAUACUGGCAUUAAAAACAGAUAAAUAGACCAAUGGAGCAGAACACAGAAAGAUGAAUACCUCACAGUCUCACUCAUGUGGAAUCUAAACAAGUUGAUCUCAUUAGAGACUAGAAAGAAGGUUAAGAGAUGCUGAAGUUUUAGGAGAAAGGGGCUUAGAGAAUUAUCUGUUAAAUGAUAAACAAUGCCUGUUAAGCUAGGAGGAAUUAGUUCAAGAGACCUAUUGUAGUGCAGAGUGACUACAGUUAUUGAGAAUAUAUUGUAUUUUUUUUUAAAGUGCCAAGACAGUGUUGAGCAUUCUCACAAUAAAAAUAACCAUUGAGGUAAAGCGUUUUUAAUUAGCUAGAAUCAAGCAUUUCAAACAUCAUGUGUUAUAUGUAUAUAUAUAAUUAUGUGUAUAUAUGUAAUUAUAAUUACAUAUAUACAUAUAUAAUUUUAUAUAUACAUAUAUCAUUAUGUAUAUAUGUGUAUAUAUAAUUUUGCCAAUUUAAAAAUAAUUUUUAAACACAUCAUGGAGCGAAAACAAUGCUCCAAAUACCAAGUCUGCAUCUUUUUAAACUUAGCUGAACUAUAUAGAAAAUACAGUUUUUAUGAUUUUUAAAAAUGUCCACUUAUCAGCCAUAAGCACAGAAACUCUAAUAUUCACCAGCAUGUUCUAGAACCAGCACAGAACAUGGGAGUCACCAAUGAACUCUAUGGCUUUCACUUUAAGUUUGGGACACCUGGAGUUUCUGGUGCUGAUGCUAAUCAUAUGGAUGACAUUAAAGAAGCAGGUGGUGCUAACAGUCCCAUCUCUGGCCAUGGUGUGAACACAGAAAUCAGGUUUGCAUUCAAAAUCACCAAGGAAAUACUUCAAUCCAAAAGCUCUCUAGAUCUCUGAGUUUUUUAAUACAGAAAAUGACUAAGGAAUUGGCGAGUUAUGUGAUUAUUUAUAUAAACUCUGCAAUGUAAGCUGCACCCAUUUAAAUAAAACAUACUGUGAUAUGAGUAAGAAACUUCCCAAGAUUCCAGUAUCAAUGGGGAAGAAAAGAUUAUUCCAAAUUUUAAAUCCACAGAAGCAUU
rnacentral:lncRNA from 1 species